GAUUUCUGGUACAAUGCACCUGGCCCGCGGCCCUCAAGGCUUGUGAGUGCCGGCGCGCGUUUACCAUCCUUCUAGAAAACGAUUCUGCCAUUCACUUGGUUGGGAUCGCGAUCUAGAUCUUUUACUUGAAAAAAUUAGAGUGUUUAAAGCAGGCUUUUGCUAUGAAUACAUUAGCAUGGAAUAUAUUUUGUUGGUUUCUAUAACUGAAGUAAUGAUUGAUAGGGAUAGUUGGGGGUGCUAGUAUUGGCCGGCCAGAGGUGAAAUUCUUCAAGACUAACUUAUGCGAAAGCAUU
rnacentral:rRNA from 1 species